UUCAUCACCUGCUUCUGCUUAGCUGAGUGCUGGGGCUUCAAAGGAUUCUGUGGUUACUAUAAUGGUUGCACGAUCCAGCUUAAGGAUGAUGCACCAAUAUAUUUGCAUCUCUGAAAAGCAACAGCACAAGACCUGGACAUGUUUAGUGUGUAUAACAGUACACUUGCCUACUCAGGAGUAAGUUCUAGUAAGUUCAUUGGGACCUACUCCUAGGUGAGCUCAGCAAUGACCAGAAGAUAGAUGGCCACAGCACACUUCCCCGCCAGCCCCUUGAUGUGGGCCCAGGAGAUCAUGACCAUCUAGAUCAGGAAUCAAUAUCAGCAGUUUCAUGUUAAGGAGCAAAGCUUUGGAGCAGUUAAUCCUAUGAGAGAUACAUCUGGAGAUGGGCCAAUAUUUACAAGCAAUUACAAAGUGAAUAAAACAAUGAAACUGUAAGAGGGGGAAAGUUAAAACAGACUAUUUAAAGCAUCCAGAAAU